rnacentral:rRNA from 1 species
CCCGCCCUGGGGAGUACGGCCGCAAGGUUAAAACUCAAAUGAAUUGAUCGGGGGCCCGCACAAGCCGGUGGAGCAUGUGGUUUAAUUCGAUGCAACGCGAAGAACCUUACCAGGUCUUGACAUCCCUUGGAAUCUUGCAGAGAUGCGAGAGUGCCUUCCGGAAUCCAAGUGACCAGGUGCUGACAUGGCUGUCGUCAGCUCCGUGUCGUGAGAUGUUGGGUUAAGUCCCGUAACGAGCGCAACCCUUGUCCUUAGUUGCCAGCACGUGAUGGUGGGAACUCUAAGGAGACUGCCGGUGACAAACCGGAGGAAGGUGGGGACGACGUCAAGUACAUCAUGGCCCUUACGACCUGGGCUACACACGUGCUA